rnacentral:miRNA from 1 species
UAAAUAUUUUUUUUGUAUAAA